AACUAAUACCUUCCUAGAAAUUUUUCUUCCAAGUUGAACUCUGAAUAUUCAGUUUAGUUUUUAACUUUAAAGAAAACCAUCCAGUGUUUAAAAGUAAAUGUAAACUUUUCCACCUGGUCUAGUAGGCGUUCUGUACAGGGUGGCAGGGAGGACGGAAUGGUGCAGUAAUGUUAUUAAAGCUUGUCUGUCUUCACAAGGUAGAUGCCAUCAGAUAUAUAUCAAAAACAGGGCUUGAUAAAGCCUGAAUGUAAGGUUUGACACAAAAGUACUAAUAGCUUCCCAGCCUCCCCUCUGAGGCUGGAAUUUAUCUCCCUUUUACUCUGGUCUCCAAGAGCAAUUAUUUUCCAAAGCAUGGUUACUACAGCAAUAGUGUGAAAGUCAAAUGAGAAUCUCCAAACCUAAAUCCUUACCUUCUUUAAUCUUGUUCAAAAAUCAGAACAGCAAGGAAAACAUUAAGAGGUACCAUGGUGAAUAUUCACACUAUCCUUUGGAUGACACUGCAGUCGACUCUGGCUCAAAUAAGCACUCUGAGAUCUGGAAAACUGUCUGGGACGCCAAGACUGGCUACAUUGCAACCAAAGUAUUAACAAAAAAGACCUGCAUCAUUAGUAAAGCUGACACAAGAUUCUUCCCUGCUAAUCAACGAUUUUCUGCACCACCUCAUGGAGACAAGGAGUCUAGACCUCAGCACCUUCCACCCAGAGAGAAUCGUUACAUUAUCUCAAAAAACAGACUCCAUAACUUGCGCCCAUAUGGAGAACGCAUUCAAAAUCUGUGCCAAGGAACUCCCUCUUACUUUGCUUACCCAACCCCUGGCUCAAACUUUUUAAGGGAACAUGUCCCAUGUUUGAAAACUCACAUCGAAAAUGUGUCAUAUAUUUACUGUGGCUUUUUUCCUGGUUAAAUUUGGAAGAAGAAAUUAGAACUGUGUACCCAUGAAGAUGCUUUUUCUUUUCUUUUCUUUUCUUUCUUCCUUCUUUCCUUGGUAAUCUUAUCUUGAUCAUAUUUUCAAUCAUUUAUCUGCCUUCUUUUCUGCUCUCUGUGAAGCUUAGUGUCUCUCAGUAAAAUUCAUCAUUAACCUACACUGGUCUGUGCUGUGUUUUUACUGAUCCUUUUAAAAAGUAGAAGUAACCCCAAAGAAAAGUUCCUAAACUACCAUUCCUGCAAAAUCCCAUUUUUUGCUUUUAAAUCAGAUCCUGUAGUAUUUCCCAAUGAGAUUUCACAUUACCAUAUGAAAUUUUUCAGCAUUGCUAAAAGCAAAU
rnacentral:lncRNA from 1 species